rnacentral:lncRNA from 1 species
UUGUGUUUGAGUGUAAGUAAUCCAAGAAACCCAAUAACAUUGGGUUUGAGCCCAAUGCCCCACAGCCCGAGCUCAAGUCAAGCCAGCAUCUUCCAGGGCCUGCACAUCCUGACUUCAUCCCACGACACAUCACAACAUCGCGAGCAUCUCCGCAUCCAGAUCAGCUCCCUCCGGCUUCAUCCGUCUGCAAUCUCCCAGCAUAGCGCCCAUUAAGCCAUGAACGGCGUCCUCCCGUCGAUCCCGCAGCCAGUCCCUCUUCCAAGCCUCCCAAAUCAGCGAAGCCCCUCACACGUCCGUUUCUUCUUCAGCCGCAUCAUCCUCCUCCAGCUCCCAGCCUCCACCGUGGUCGUGAUCGACUCCUCCCAGCAUCCCAAGAGCCCGUCUGCCCUCUUCCUCCUCCACGAUCCCUCCCAUCUCCACUUCUUCCGCCCGUCCCAGCAGCCUGUGAAGAAGCCCAAGAUCCCAUCCGUAUCCAUCUUCCACGGAUCAAGCCUCUGCAUCCGCCUCUUCCGCGUCAAAGGGAAGAGCAAUGAUCCCGUGGCCAGCCCCUCUUUCCAACCUCUCGCCUCCCAUCCGGCACCCAAAGAAGAAAACCCAUCUCAUCUUCUUCCGUCCGCACAUCAACCUCCCAGAAUCCCAGCGGCCAUCGUCCGGAUCCACCUCCCAAGCAUCGCCUCAUAGAUCGCAUCUGCCCUCUCCUUCCUCGCGUCGAUCCCGUAGCACUCUUCAUUCCGUAUCCACCUCCCGAGAUCUCGCACCCGUUUCUCCUCCUCUCCAUGCUCUGGCGAUCUAUAAGAAGGGGAGAACGAGAGGAAGAAAAAGGGGCUCUCGGCUGGGUGGUGGGCCAAAGAACAGGGAAAACAGGGGAGUGUGGAGGUCGGUUUGGCCAAAGAAACAGGGGAGGUGUGCUCGGUGGAGGCCAAGAAACAGAGGAGGGCGGAUGAGGAAGAAAGAGAUUUUUUUAGUUUUCUGUUUGAGUUUAGUUCUUUUUAUUUAGGAGAGCAAUGUUUUUCUUUAGUUUGAGUUUAUGAGAGCAAUGUAUUUUUUUUAGUUUUACUUUAAUUGAAAGUUUUAAUUGAGAAGUUAUGUUUUAAGUUUUAGAGCAUGUUGUUCUUAUUUUUUAGUUUUAUUUUAGGUUUUGUUUUGAGUUUUAAUUUUUGAGAGUUUAUUUGGGUAGAAAGUUGUAUUUAUUCUGCAAUUUUAAUUUCUGUUCUGCAAUACAUUAAUCUUUUUUCAUGCAAUCUAUAUUCCAGUCUGCAAUUUUUCUAGCACUAUUCCUAACUCAUUUUAUGCCAAAGCUUUUCUUUGAUUAGUUCAAUAUAUAAAUGCCUUUCGAAUUUAAAUACUUGUCUUUUUGUCAAUUUUAAGUAGAAAAUAUUCUCUGGUAGCCCAGAGAAUCAUUCAAACAUCUCCAACGUAAGGUUUUUCUUUCGUUAUUCAAAAAUCGAUUUUGAAUCGGAGUGAAUGUUUCAAUUUUUAUGCAACUCCAAUCACCUCCCUGUAGAUCGACCUCUUACGACCACUAUUCUUAGAGUAGAACAGGUAAGAGUAAAAUUAAUUUAAACUUUGUUUGUCGGUUCUAACAACGAUCUGUUUAGCAUAUUUUUAGAUAAACAAGAAUCGGACAACAACCGGCCGUCACUACAGUUGGCUGGCCAUUACUAGAUGAUAGCCUCCGGCCACCCAGGCUCGGCCACCCCGUCGGCUUUUUCUUCCCUCUCUUCCUUCUUUUCCUUCUUCCUCCCUAUUCAACGGGAUGAAGGACAACUACAGUAAGCCGAGUUGGGUCGAGUUUUGGCCCUAUUGGGUCGUGCCCAUUGUGGGCCAAACUCUAGCCCAGUUUAGCCAUCUUGGCUCUAUUGGGUCGUGCCCAUUGUGGGCCAAACUUGAGCCUAGUUCAGCCAAAUUAGGCCCUAUUGGGCUGUACCCAUUGUAGGCCAAAAUUUGGGCUCAAUUCAGCUAUUUUGAGCCCUCUUAGUCGUGCCUAUUGUGGACCGAGUUCGAGCCCUAUUCACCUUGUUGGGUCGUGACCAUUAUGGACCGAGUUCGGGCCCUGUAGAGCCGUAACCAUUGUGGGCCGAGUUCGUGUUUACCUUGUUGAGAUAUGCCCAUUGUGAGCCGAGUUCGGGCCCUGUAGGGUCGUGCCCAUUGUAUGCUAAGUUUGGGCCCUAUUCACCCUGUUGGAUCGUGCCUAUUGUGGGCCAUGUUCAGGCCUUGUUCACUCUGUUGGGUCAUAUCUAUUGCGAGCCGAGUUCGGGUCGUAUUCACCUUGAGCCUGUUCAUCCCUUAUGAGAUCGUGUCCAAUAGUAUUUUUUUCCUUUGCUUGGCUCUGAAAUUAACAAUAAAAUUAAUUAUAUUUAAACAGGCGAAUUCUAAUCGGCCUAUGUGAAAUAGGAUUUAAAGCGAGAAGAGGUAAGUACCCUAAUGCUUCAAAGUAUAUUUUCUAAAGUAUCUGGUAAAGUAAUUAUUAGUAUAUUAAAUUUUGAUAUAUAUUUUGUACUUAGUUAAACAGGUCAAGCAUGUUAAUAAUUAUUUUAGAAUUAUGUAUGUAUUAUGAAAUCUAAAAAAUAUGACUAGACAAAUUAUAAAAAAUCUAUUUUGUAUGUAUGUAUUCUCAGCAUAGUUAUGAUUGUUCUGGCUCCAACAAUGAAGAUUAUUCGGUUGGCUCUGUCAACUUAUAAUAUGUGAGAAACUAAUUUUGCACCGCAUCACCGAUGAUAAAAAUAGUAGUAUUUGGGCACUGUUGCUACCGGUGGUUAAUAGUAAUAGAUUUGGUACUUUGUGCAACCUAUGCCACUGGGUUACAUGGCUAUAGCCUAUUGAUAUUGGAAUUCUGCUAUCAGAGUUUUUAUGAAAAUAAUGAUAAAUUUCAAAAAAUAUAUAUAUAUUGAUAAUUUAUUUUUCAGUCGAUAUUUUAUGUUUCAAUUAAAUAUCUAGCAUGCUUUGACCCACUCUAGGGUAUUAUAUUGCUUACUAGGAUAAUGUAGCUCAUUAUCAUAUUUCUCUAUUUUUCACAUCCAGAGGCGUGAUGGCCUGAGACUGGAGUGUGCACUAGAUUGUUGAAGAUCCUUCAGUUAUUGGCAUUUUAGAUAGAUUAGUUAGAUUAUUGGAUUUAUGUUUGCUUAUAUUCUUUAAAACUUUUGUAAUAACCAUUUGAAGUAAUUAAUGAUUAAAUAAAUUUUAAAAAUUUGUCGUUACUUUGAUAUGAUCCGUUACCUUGCAUGCAUGUACGUACGGUCCGCUCUAUAGAUGUACAAUUUCUGUCGUGCUCUAGGCUUGAGAUGUAACAGAUUUGGUGGUAUUAAAGCCUAAGUUUUUGGAUCCUUGGAAUUCGUCGGAAACUUUGAGAGAUAUGUAGACAUUGGGCAAUGAGACAAAUGUCUUUAUUUGCUUUUGUUAUUGAUAAAUUUGUAUUACGGUAUCUGAAUUUUUUUGAGAUGCUUAUUAAAAUCAGAAUGCUCGCUAACUGUGCUCAUAGCCAAUGUAUGAAUAAACUAUUUUGGGUGUUUUUUCGAUAGAGCAAUUUGUAUUUCAGGUUAUGAUUAAAAUAGAUUUUGACUAAAAUCAAAUGGAGUACUAGCCAUGGAAUAUUAUCAUACAUUGUAAUUAUUUGUUUAUUUAGUGAUUUUGGAAGUUCAACUUAAUAUAGAGUAUUAUGAUGUUACUUCUAGCUUGAAAUUAAUUAUUUCGGUGGCAAGUUAUGGCUCAUUUAUAAAAUGUUGUUUAAGGUUUGGACUAGAAAAUAUUUUAUGAUAUUCAUUGAAAUAUUCUUCAAGGAUUGAAAUUUGUAUGUGGAUCAUGCAUGAAACUCUUAUGUAGAAAGAAAAUAUAUUUGGGAUGAGACUCUAGAAUUUUCUUUCGCUUUAUCUAGAAUUUGAAAUUUUAGAUCUUUUCAAAUUACUAUGUAGAUUAGUAUUUUGUUUGGAAGUUACUUUAUAAAUUAUGAGAAAGUAUAGUGGUUUGAAUUAUUUUAUAUCUUGUCAACAAUAUUAAAUCUGUGAUCUAGAAAUGUUUUGAUGGUUUUUCUUGUUAUGGAUAAUUUUGUUGUAAAAAAAAGAAAAAAGAAAAGAAUAGUGUUUUGAUUUUGACUGAUAUGGAUAUCAUUGUGUUAUUAAUAGGUUCUUCUAUCUGCUAUGUAAAAAAAAAAGGGAGAAAUCUGGCAUCUCAAGUCUAAGACUAAUAGAAUGUUGGUUCCUGCAUUAGCUAAUAUUAUAUUUGAAAUGUUUUAUGUAGAGAUCUCUUUGCCCUUAGAUUUAUGGUUUAUGCCUUUGAAAGAAUUCAAAAAUAAUUAUCAAUCUUGAAAAAUAUUUUACGCUCAAAUAUUCUACUAUGCAUAAAGUGGAGUAGUUUAUGAUCUUAUGAUAGGUCAACAUUAGUUGAUAUUUUGACAAAAAAAAAAUAUUGUUGCAAAUUAUGAAUGUGAUUUAGAACUGGAGGAAUUGGAACGGUUUAGCUAUCUUGAGAGCGAAAAAAUAUAUAUAUUACUAAAAGGAUCAAAUAGUUAGUAAAUUUAUGAUGUUUUGAGUAGAUCCUCUAAGACAGACUAGUCUCUUUUUUUUAGAUAGUCUAGUAGAUUUACAAGAUCAUGAAUGUUUGCAAUAUUGCNNNNNNNNNNNNNNNCUUAUUGUAGGAAUUGAUCUCAAUGUAAAAUCAUAGAACUUCUAUCUUGAUGGAAUUUUUUGUAAAUUUUUGAACCAAAUUAUUAUAUUUUAUGAUAAUAAUAAUAAUAAUAUAAAUCAAGGCUAUGAGUUGAUCAUGGAUCACCAUAAGUGAGAUGCUAGUAGAAUUUCAUGAGAGGCCUCAAUGAAUUUAAUCUAGAACAUAAAAUUCGAAAAGGUUGAAUAUGCUUCUAAGUAAGUUAAUCUAAGAUAUUUUAAUUUAUUGGAGCAUCGAAUUAAUAUUCUCAAAAGAGAUAUCAAUAUCAAAUUAUAUAAUUCAAUUGUCAAGAAAAUCUAGAGUUGGCUUAUCUCAAAUUGGAUCUAGAAUAUGAUUACUUGAUCAUACAAUGGUGCACAUAUGGCGAUUAUCUCGAGGGUUAAUCAUGAUCUAUGCUUGGAAAGUAAGGAUAAAAUUUUUCUUGGAUACUUUUUUGAAAAAAUGAUGAUCUAGUAUUAUUAAGGAAUUUUGGAGAAUAUUGAUCAGAGUUGCACAGCGAAAAUAUGGUGAAUUGAGUCAUUUUAAACUACUCAAAGAUAUUGACUGUGUUUUAUAAUAUGUUAUGAUAGAAGACUAGAUUUUUCAAUAAAAAAAAUUUUGUUGAUAAGGAAAGAAGAAUACUAUUGAUUCUCAGGUUAAUAACGAUAUGACUAUGUUAUCUCUUUAAUAGAUUUUUCUAUUAUUGAUAUGCUAAAGAAAAUUUUGAGCAUUUCAUGAAUAGGGUGAGUUGAUCAUUGAUCAAAUAUGAUCUAAAUUUUUAGGUAUCCAAAUAAGUCGUGUGUUAAUUAUUCCCUCAUUAUGAUUUACAAAUUUAAGCAAAAUUUAAAGCAUUGUGGCUUAUCGAAUCGUGGUAUCAAUAUUUUGCUUUCUCAGACUUGCUCUUGUGAUUUGAUGCCAAACAUUAUUAGAGAUAGACCAUUGUUGUCUAAUGACCAUCAUUAUAUGUUCAUUUUGUAAACCACAUUCCUAGUGAUAUGAUGAUUUGACUCUAAUUAAGGUUGGUCAUUAACUUUUGUGGAUCAACACCCUACCCUAAUAAGUGUAUCAAAUCCAUUUUAUUUCAAAUUCUAUCCCAAAUACAAUUAAUUUUAAUCGAUCUUGCUGUGAAUUGAUCCCAAUCCGAUUUGGAGUGAACUUGCAUCAAAAUGAUAAUUUCAAUCUUGAAUAUUAGUUAGUCACUUAUCUAGUACUAAUCUUGCAAGUUUAUAUAAAAUUUCUGAUAAUUGAUCCAAUAUUAUUUAUCACAUUAUUUUUGAUCAAGGAGAAUAAGAUCUUGGAUUUAUGUUACUCAAUAUGCUGAAUAUUUCUAAAUUUGGAAGGCCUAGAUUCUUCAAAUUUUGAGGACGAAAUUUUUUUUAAAGCAGGAAAAUGUGAGACUUGACCCAAAAUGGGCUGAAGCCAAUAGGCCCAGCCGACUUCGGCCCAUGAAGCAACGAAAAACCAGAAUAGAGGAUCGCGAUUGCGAUCGCGAUCCUCUGCUCUAUCUUCUUUGGAGAGAUGAGGUCGCAGAGUCGUGGCCAACUCUGCAGUAGUUGAACUCCCCUACUCUGCAGGGAGCUAGAAAGGAUGUUGGCUGUCCCAUGGUGUCGUUGCCCACGAUCCUCGUGGGCGGUGCAACUGCUUAUAACCAUUCGAAAGCCUAUAAAAUCCCUCCCCCUCAUCCCUCUCAGAGUCGUCCCGAGAUCUACCUCUGAACCUUCUCCUCCUUCUCCAUCUCCUCACUCCUCCUCCCUCUCCGGUGGUCGGGGUGCCGCCCCAGCCAAGCACAACCACUCGAGUUCUCUUUCCCUUAUUUUUCUUAUUCCGAGAUCCACUUUGCCGUUGGAAGCCAGUGCUAGUUGAGCAGCCAUAGUCGAGAUCCACCGCCUCCGUCGACGUGCCGGUGAGCCUUCCUUCCCUCUUUUCUUCUAUUUUUGGUUAAACCAAAGCCAAUUUCUUCCUCUAUUCUGGCCCCAAACCGAGACUAUUUUAAGUUUUUCCUUCUCGUCAAUCGUCGCAGCGGCCGCCGGCUGCCACUACGGUUGAUUGGCUAUCGACCUAACGACGAACUCCAGCCAUCCAGGCUCGGUCACCCCGUCGGCUUCUCCUUCCCUCCCUUCCUUCUUUUCCUUCUUUCUCCCUGUUCAACGAGAUGAAGGACAGCCACAGUGAGCCGAGUUGGGCCGAGUUUGGACCCUAUUAGGCCAUGCCUAUUGUGGGCCAAACUUGGGCCUAAUUCAGCCAUCUUGGGCCCUAUUAGACUGUGCCCAACGUGGGCCAAACCUACGCCCAGUUUAGCCAUAUUAGGCCCUGUUGGAUCGUACCCAUUGUGGGCCAAAAUUUAGGACUAAUUCAGUUAUUUUGGGCCCUAUUGGGCCGUGCCCAUUGUGGGCCGAGUUCGGGCCCUUUUCACCUUAUUGGGUUGUGCCCAUUAUGGGCCAAGUUCGGGCCCUAUUGGGCGGUGUCCAUUAUGGGGCCGAGUUCGGGGGCUGUUCACCUUGUUAGGUUGUGCCCAUUGUGAGCCGAGUUUGGCCCCCAUUGGGCCUUGUCCAGGGCCAAGUUUGGGCCCUUUUCACCCUGUUGGACUGUGCCUAUUGUGGGCUAUGUUCGGGCCCUAUUCACCUUGGGCCUGUUCAUCCAUUAUGAGGCCAUGUCUAAUAGUAUUGUUGGCUUUGCUUGGCUCUAAAAUUAAAAAUAAAAUUAAUUAUAUUUAAACAAAUGAACCUAGUCCGCCUACCUAAAGUAGGAUUUAAAAGCGAGAAGAGGAAGUAACCUAAUACUUCAAAAUAUAUUUUCCAAAAUAUUUGGUAAAGUAAUUAUUAGUGGAUUAAGUUUUGAUAUAUAUUUUGUACUUAGUUAAAUGGGUCAAACAUGUUAGUAAUCAUUUUAAAAUUAUGUAUGUGUUAUGAAAGCUAAAAAAUAUGACUAGAUAAAUUAUGAAAAAUUUAUUUUGUAUGUAUAUAUUCUCAGCAUAGUUAUGAUCUGUUCUGGCCCUGCUAAUGGAAAUUAUUUGUUGACCCUAUUGACUUAUAAUCUGUGAGAAAGUGGUUUCCACACCACACCACCGGUAAUUAGAAGAGUGGUAUUUGGACACUGCUGCCACCGAUGGUUAAUAAUAGUGGAUUUGGCACUUUGUGUAACCCAUGCCACUAGGUUACGUAGCCAUAGCCUAUUGAUGUUGGAAUUCUUGUAUCAGAGUUUUUAUUAAAAUGAUAAUAAAUUUAAAAAAUAUAUUUAUUGAUGUUGGUAUGCUUUGACCCUACUCUAGGGUAUUAUGUUACUUAUUGGGCUAGUGUUGCUUAUUUUCAUAUUUGUCUAUCUUUUAGAUAUAGAAGCGAGAUAGCACGGAACUAGAGUUUCUGCUAGAUUUCUGAAGAUUCUUCGGUUAUUGGCAUUUUAGUUAGAUUAGUUAGAUUAUUGGAUUUAUGUUUGCAUAUGUUCUAUGAAACUUUUGUAAGAACCAUUUAAAUUAAUUAAUAAUUAAAUAAAGUUUUAAAAAUUUGUCACUGCUUUGAUAUGAUCCAUUGCCCUGCAUACUUGUACGAUUUGUCGUGCAAGCAUGCAGUAUCUGUCGUGCUCCGGUCUUGGGGCAUGACAGAUAACAUCACCAAAAAUAUCAAACGAUAAUAACAUUUUAACAAUUCAUGUGUAAAUCACUAAAAUAAAGUGUGAACCUGAUUUUAUAUUGAUGUGUUGUUAAAACCAAGCCAUUAUGAGAAUUCAAGUAGAAAUCAGAAGGCUGAUGAGAUGUAUCUAACAGUAUAUAAUUUUGAUUGGAUACUUGUGGGUUUUUCAAAUGAAUCAAAGUACUAAAAUUUAUGCACCCCAUCAGAAUUAAAUUUAAUGAAAUUGAUUACAUAUUAUAUUUUUUUCUAAAAUUUUUUGAUGGGUUAAAAAAAUUAUUUUUAACUUGAUUUGAUCCGAUCUAUUUAAUGUACAAGUUACAUAAGCUCAGACAGUUUAACAAUUAGAAGAAAAUAUUUUUUGAUAUGAAAUCUAUUACCAAUAUUGCAAGUGACGCCAAUGGUCUAAGACGCAAUUAUUAAUAACUUAUAGGGAGACCAAUUUAACCAAAAAGUUGGAUCACUGAUCCAACUUGAUUUAUAUUAAAAUAUAUAAAAAAAUUAAAAUUACUUAAAUAAAAUAUAAUAUAAACAUUAAAAAAUAUUCUAUAUUAAAUAUCAUUACUUAUUAAUUACAUCAUGAAUAAAAGGAAUCAUGAAUUAUCUAGUUUAAAAAUCUUUAGAGAAAAUAUAUAAGAUUAUAGAAACAUAUUGAAAUUAUUGUUAUUUUUAAAUAUUUUAAUUGAAAAUUUUCAAAAUAUUAUAAAUAAUAAAAUGAAUUUAUUCAUUUUUAUUUUUAUCAAAAAUAAGAUGAUUAAUUUUUAUGCAAAUAAUUAAUUAUUAAAAUAGAAAAUACCAUACUAUAUUUGAGAUAAGUAUAUUUAUAAUAUAAAAUUAUAAAAUAGGUAUAAUAAAAUAUAACUUGAUACUGGAAGCUAAUAUUGUCAUAAUAGCCAAGUAGUAGGCAAAUGUCCAAAAGAUUUUAUAUUCAAUUCCCUAUACAAGUGUAUAUAUAAAAAUUAAUUUUCUUCACAUUUAAAAUUGUAAGCAUAUAUUUUUCAUCCGAAUUGAUACCGAAUAUAGGGGAUAACAUCCAGUUCAUUUUCAACUCUAAUCCAUUUACCGAUAAUUUUUCAAUCUUUUGUCACCAAAACAAUCGCUGCAAAUAUUUGUCUUUAAUGACCAUUUCAUCACUAAUUGUAUCAUUUUUUUAUAACCAACAAAAAUUCAUCACAAAAGAACAUUUUUAGCGACAACAUUAAAUCAUCAUUAAAACUCAUUUUUUAUCAUUAAUUUCUUGUCAAGUUGUCAUUUUUUGGCUCUUUAAUGAUAAUUUUUUAAUCUUUUGCCACAAAAAAAAAUCAUUAUUGAUAUUUGCUUUUAAUAGUCAUUUGUGUUUUGUCACCAAAUGUAAGCCCUUUUUUUUGAUGAUUUUAUAUUUUGGUCACUAAAACUUUUAGCCAUAAGGCCUUUAGUGGCCACCUAGUAACGAAAUAUUUUUGGACACUAAAAGCUUUUAGUGACGAAAGUAAAACAUUGUGGGACCAAUUUUUUUGUUGCUAAAAACCUGAAUUUUUAUAGUGAUAUCAUCGAUAAUGGAUUGUGCAAAAAUAUUUUAUCUCUUGAAUUUAUAAACAAGUUUAAUCUAAAGGUAGAGAAGUAUCUCUAACCAUAAAAAAAUCACUUGGUUCAAAAAUGAUAAUUAGGUAACUGACUCCAAACGUUGCAUUGUCAAUUUGUUAAUUAAUAGCACUUAUAUGGAGGAUGCAUGGUGUGAUGUAACACCGAUAGAUGCUGGCCAUAUCUUAUUGGGUCUUUUAGGCAAAUGACUGGUGGAUGAUCCAUGAUGGAAAAUAUAACACAUGCUCCUUCGAUGGAGUAUUGAUCAUGCUCUGACCGACAGAGAGAAUCCCCACCAAAGAAGGAAAAAAAAGAGGAUAGUCUCUUUACCAUCAAAAGCUUUCUCGUUGAAAAGGCUCAGGGCACAUCUACGUAGCCAUCCAUUAGGAAGAGACCAAUGUAAUCCAUUGCCCGAUAACAUGAAGCCACUCUUUAAGGAGUUUGGUAAUCUACUGCCUAAAGAGCUCCAUCGAAGUCUUCCCCAUGACAUCCAGCAAGCCAUAGACCACUUAUCUGAAUGCAAUAAAUAAUGGCCUGCCAUGAGUACGAGGGGCUAAACUAGUGGAUAAACCUACCAAUAUACUGAACUAGAAUUACAUCCUGUAGCUUAAUCUUUUGUGAACUCCUCAGCAAACAUGGAUGUACAGACAAAAUCCUUUUAGCUAAGGAGCAUUCAGAAGUGGACUGAGAGGUGAAUACAAGAAGAAAGAGUUCAAAAGCAUGCAAAAUCACAAAUGAACAGAGUCAAAAACAGAAAAAAGAGUCAAAAGAUUUCAGUUAGUAAAUCUGGGGACCCAGCCUCAAUGACGUUAAAGGACUAGUAGUCAAAAAAAAAAGAAAAGAAAAAGCAUAGAACUGAACGAAAAUUUAUUAAAAUUUGGUCAUCUUCAAGUCCAAAAAGAUGCAAUCAUUACAAACUAUAUCAAGUACAAUUUUAGCUAAUCCAAAAACUAAUAUGAUAAUGUGAUAGCAUUGCAAAUUACCAAGUAAAAAUUCACAAAACGUCUAAUAGAUUUUAUAACAAUGUUUUCUCUAACCGCCAAUUAAUCUAAUUGUGACCAAUAUAUUCUAUUUUAGAAAAUUUUACAUUGGAGAGGAAGCACUACUAAUGGCUUAAGCAUAGUCUUAUUCAAUAUCAGCUACAUAUGGGUUUUAUUUAUACUAAAACAUGUACCACCAGUAGUGCUAAUAAAAUAUAUUUUAAUCAAAAGAAUCAAAAUUAACAUGACACAAUUAGAUCAAACUAAAUAUUUAUUAUAUCUUUGGAAAGUGAAAAAACUCACUUGGAACUUCUUUUUAUUCUCUAUAUGCUUUUGGUAAUAAUGUGUCAAAUCUAUAUCUAGGUUGAGCAACUUCUAACCAAACUUGUUUUGACCCUAAAAUUUCGACUUAUGCUUUGUCAUUCAUCCUACUCAAAAAUCUGACUCUUCCUUUGGAUGGGGGACUAUCCCUGGGUUUCUAUAAUGGGUGGGACUCCCUCUUAUUCUCAAAAAUUUAAAUAAGUGGGUGGGAAUCCCUCCUAUUCUCAGAAAACCAAAUUAAAGAAGAGUUUCAAAGGGUUUGCAAGGAUUUAUGGGCUAUCAUGAAUUUUCACAGGAUUUGGUCCUCAAGUCCUUCAUAUAUGCAUGAAGAUAGUGUGCCAAAAAAUUUUGCUCAAACAAAAUGAUUCAUAUUUUUUUAAAAAAAAAAUUAUUGCCAUUCAACUAUUUUGGAAUGAGAAUGAACAGACUAGAGGGAAAGAGAUAAUAUGAAUGGAUCGAAUGAGAAAGAGAAAAACAUUUAUGCGUUUACGAGAUAGUCCCAUAAUAUCUGCUGGGCGGGACAAGCAAGGCCCAUCAUGUUACCUCAUAAAAUCAAGCAGGUCUUGAAUGGAACAUUCAUUGAGGAGUUCCUUCAAUAGAGAGAUUGCUGCAAAGUGAACUAGGUCUAUCUAUCAGCUGAAGGUAGUAGGUAGGUCCGAAUUAGAUGUUUCCGUGCUAGAAAUCGUGAAAAACAUUUUGUUAUGCAUAUUAAAUACAUAGAAUUUGAUUUAUGAGAACAAAGAAUAUAGUUGCUAAACCUUAACCAAGAAGUGAAUCUCCUAAUAUUUGAAAACUGACGAAUUCAAUCCCAUGGAAUGAAAACAUGGUAACUGACAGCUGAAUGGAAUUUCACCAAAUAUUCCAAUUAAUUCAAUACGACUCAGCUAUCUCGGAUACGAAAACUGAAGAACACCAAGCAGACUAUGGCAGAUAUCAUCAAGAAAACAGAUGCUACACCUACAAGGAGAUCGAGCUAAUUAUAAAUCCACAGAAACAAAGAUUUGCAGGAAUGGCAGGGCAAGAAUGUGACAAGAAACAAAAGUGAAUGAUCUGAGAAAUCUGGAUAGCCAUUCUUCUACAGAAAAUGAAAGAGUUACAUCAUAACGAGCUCAGACUGCAGCAAAUCUUAUACCAGAUAGACCACCCAUCAAAUGUGAGGACUUUUAACUAGUGACCAAUUCAGGGUGCAAAGCAAACAAUAACCACUUGAAAGCCCAUACCUGAUUCCUAUUCCAAUGCACAAGUGCAUCAGAGCAUAAGGAAGAGGCAUCAACAUUUUCUAAUGUAGAAGCGCCUUCUAUAUAUGUUACAAUAUGUAAAACAAUGAUUAAAUAUCAGAGAACCAAAUUAUAACAAAUGAGGGAAUAAGGGAGGCCAAGAAAUCUCCCUACUGACAGAUAGCACACCAUUCUACAGCAAUAGCUACAACAUUUGCAUAUUGCGGCGAGUAAUGUCCAGACCGCGCAUCAAAUAUUGAUCCUCAGGUGGCAUUCUAAUUCUCGCAUCUGUAUGAGGUUCUGAUAUCUUGUUGGGCAAAGGCUGUCUCCCUGUAGAUCUUUGAUAAUCAGCAGGUAUUCCAUAUCUCACAUCUGUCUGGGUUACUGAAAUCGUGUUGGACCAGGUUUCUCUCUCUGUUGGGUGUCGGUAAUCAACAGGCAUUUCAGUUUUCACAUCUGUGUAAGGAAGGCCAAAAACACUGUAAGCAGGAACUCCUGCGACCAAAUGGUAUGGAUCAAUAGUCUGAUUGUUCACUGAAACCCCAGAUCUGGCUUCUCUAUAGGAAGUAAAUGGGUAUUGGUCACUAUUCGUAUUGCUGGCAUAUCUAACAUAAGGACUAGUAGCAGCCAGCCUUAAUCUUGAACCAUGAAUCUCAUGCCCUCCAAAGUGAGCAUGGGGAUAUGAGUCUGUCGGUAAUCUGAACAGACCAGCAGAACCAAUUGGAAUUUUCAAAGCAUCACCUGAUAUAUCUCCCCAAGAAUUUGAAUCUGUUGGUGCUGCAGUAACCAGGGUGCCUUGACUUGACAGAGAUGACUUCUUGAAUUCUUGGUGUAGUAAUGCCUUAGCAUGCCUAAGAGCUUCCAACACACCCCCAAAGUUGCUGCUGGGUGCCAGAGACAACUGCAUGUCAGAUGCGUUUUGAAUAUCCAAUGAUCCCCAUUUGGAGAUUUUGCUACUAGAACUUGCAGAGGAAGGGCUCCCACUUGAUGGUAUGUCAAGAAUUACAUGCCCAGGUGGAAAUAGAUUUGGAUUGCUAGAAGCACCACUGUUAGAGUUCUCAUAUUUCAGUUCUUGUUUCUGCUUCUCCCUUGCGCUAGUAAAAGUGCUUCCUUUGGAAGGACGUGCAGUUUCCCCCACGGCCACUUCAUCACAUUGUUGAUGCAAGAAGUCAUCCCUGCAAAUAUGAGUAUUACUUCCAUUGGGAGCUCUUAUUACAUCAGUGUUCACAAAGCCAUCAGAGAAUGCUGCAGUGGUUGCUUCUUGGCUUCCACAAGUCUUUUCCAAAUCCGUAUAAUGAGAGAUUUGAAGAAUGUGGACAUUGGAGAGAAUUUCAGCUUUCAGUUCCUUUAUGGUGGAAAAAUUUUCGACUCCUGGUUUUGCCUCUUCAUUAUAAUAUGGUUUUUCAUCAACAUGCUCAGUGUCUUUAUCUUUUGGUUCUACACUAUGUUCAGUUACUUGAAGCUGGUUCCCAGAUUCACAAAAGCCCUGAAUUUGGAGAUCAAAUGUUAUAAAUCUAUUGCAAAUCAACAAAUAAAAUGUAAUUAAAGAAAACUGCAAAUUACCAGAAAACAGGUACUUUUUUUGGUACCAAAAAAAAAAAAAAAACAGGUGCUUCAGUAACAUAAGCAACAGCAAGGGAGCAAAAUUAAGAAAACUAAAUUAUCCAGCAAGUUAUGCAACUCGAUCAAAUAAAACUACAUCCCACCAAAGGUCUCGAGCAGAAAAAGAUAAAAACGGAGCACGACAGUGACAUGGUUCCCAUAUGGCAAAUGCCAAAAACUAGAACUGUUGAAAUAUUCUCUCUACGAAACACCAUAUAAGCAGUAUGCCCAACAUACCAUUCGUCCAACACCAUGUAAGCAGCACACUCAACAUAUCACUCUUGCAAACAUUAAGUGCCAACCACAACAAAAUAGGCCAAUGCAAAACAGCUCAAUUACUUAAUUCAAACAGUUUAAUACCAUGUCACCACCUUAAAUAGCCAAUAUGUAUAAACAUAGUCUGUCAAUGCCAAAAAGUGAGAUCCAUGAAAGCUCCCUNNNNNNNNNNUUCACAAAUUUCGAUACAAAGUCAACCAUCAUAACAUAUAGAAUAACAAAGCAAACAAUUCUCUAGAUGUAUAGUGUCUAUAUGCAAUUUAACUUUUCAAGUAUAUACUAAAGGACCAGCAAACUUGAUUAAAACAAUUCAUCCUACAGCCGGUCAACAUGUGGCUCCCAUGAAUUGUUCAGGAAAAGCAAAUAAAACAUCAGGAAAUAUAGAGAGAAUUACAUCUUGAACCAUUAUCAGUCAAGCUCAAGGACAUCAACCUUAUACAGCUUUUAUUCAUACAAAAACUGGUGAAGGAAAAAGACAAAAAACUAUUUUGUUAUCACUACUAUAUACCAUAGCGGGGACUUGAAUGUUUUAGUUUUUGACUCUUAUCUAUUGCUACAACUUCAAGAAAUGGACUGGACAUUGAUAAGGCAAAUGGAAAUGAAUGGAGUUUUUCAUUUCAUUAAGGAAAAUGACUACAGAACACAUGAAAAACUCUCAGUAAACCCCCCGGUAAUUUCAAAAGUGGUCUUCUAGAUGUUUCUCUUAAAGUUAAAAAUAUUUCCUGAUAACUUCCCAAGGUUUUCUAUGCAAAUCUCCAUAUAUUUCCCAUAUCAGCUGUCAGGAAAACCAAAUAAAAUCAGUUUCAUAAGUAGGUCCAGUAACUAUUAAAUGCAUAGGGAUGUGUUAUAGCAAGUCUUAAAUGCAUAGGGACGUGUUAUAGCUGUAGGACUUAACAGAAACCACGCAGGAGAUUAGAACACAAAAAACAUAGAUCAAUCCAUAAAGGAUCGAAGCAUACCUUACAAGCCCUAAGCAACCAUUAAUCAUCGCAGCAGAGACAGGGUAGAUCUUCAUCUUCAUCUCCUCCUUGAUGCCUAUUUCUUCAAUAAGAUAGGUGCCCCUAGGAACAUAGAGACCUUGGUGCCCUAGGAUUUCUCUACGGGCAAAUACACAUAGGAGUGGAGCGGGGACCUAGCCCAAUUAGUUAUGCUAAUGGGUCCACCCAUUACAAAGCCCAUUAACCAAAUCAGGCCUACACCAACACUCGCUACACCACAUGACUAAGACAACAGAGCCCAAAAUAACCAUAUGAUCACAAAUUAAUUAUGAGCUUCUUAAUAUUCAUUCAGAUGGCAACUUAGCCUGUAUCACAUAACAAAUCAAAUGAAAAUCAGUCCACAAUCAAAGGAAGCCCACCUUUAUAAAAAUUCCAAUAUUCUCCCACUUGGGCGACAUUAAUUAAAACUUAAAUUUUAAAAAUAUAUAUAUAUUAUUAUAUACAUAUAUGUAGUUUGAAAAUGACUCCCGAACUAAGUUCACCUCAUGUGACCACAUGUAUGAAUGUCCUAAAUAAAUAACAUCUUAAGUCAAAAAUACGGUCCAACAAAACCACUAACAUUGCAUUAUAGCAGUCUUUAUAUCAUUUACUGAUACAAGACUCUUCUAUGAUUACAAAUGUUAGUAAUCUUCUUGACAUGGAUCUCAGUGAUGUAGUGUGUGUAGGAUGAACUUUGUACCCUUAUGUGAUCAAACAUACAUAGUUCAUCAUCAGCCCACUAUAGUCUCAUAGCGAAACCUCUUAUGUGCUUUCAAAUGAAAGUUGCCAUAACAACGUUAAGCUUAUGUCACAAUUUCACCUUUAUAUAUCAAGACAAACCAUGAUAUCAAUUAUAACAUAAGCAAUACCUUUAUGCAUAAGCAACACCUUUAUGCUUAAGACUUUCAUUUAAACAACAUUUACAAACAACCAUAUGUGCACAAAUGUAAACGUGAUAUUCCAAUAUGAAAAUAAUAGAAAAGAUACUUUAUGGCAUCCAAAUAAUAUUUAACAAAAUAAUGCUCCUACUAACCAAGUACAUCAAAAGACCGCAAUAGACCCAUGUUUUCAACAUAUUUAACAAACACAUUGGAUCUAAGUACUUUGGUUAAUGGAUAUGUCAGCAUUGCAUCAAUCUCUAUAUGCUUAAUAACAUCUCCAUUUUUAACCAAAUCUCUGACUGUGAGAUACUUUAUCUUUAUAUGUUUAGAAGCACUGGAAAAAGGGCACUAGAACUCUCACUAUUCUUUGAAAUGAACACGGCAACACUAUUAUCACAAUAAAUCUCAAAUGGUUUUGAGAUGCAAUCAAUAAUCACAAAUCUUGAGAUAAAGUUCCUCAACCAAACAACAUGAGUUGUAGCUCCUAACAUGCCACAAACUCUGCCUGCAUAGUAGAAGAUGCCACAAAAAGUGUUUUGUUCUUUUUCAAGAAACGAUCCCUCUAGCCAUCAUAAAAAAUAUAACCCAAAGUAAAUUUCAUAUCAUCCACGCAACCAACAAAAUCAAAAUCACAAUAUCUGUUACCUUAAGAUGAUCAUACCUACUAUAAGCCAGCAUAAAUUUUUUUUAGUUUUUUGUAAGUAUCUCAUAACCUUUUUAGCUGCCUUCUAAUGCUCCAUGCCCAGAUUUGUCAUAUAUCUGUCAAGUACACUAACAGCAUAUGCUAUAUCCAAUCUGGGGUAGACUUGUGCAUACAUCAAAACUACCCAUAACACUAGAAUAAGGCACACUCUUCAUGGAUUCUCUUUCUACAUCAUUCUUAAGACAUUGGCUUCUACUGAAUUUAUCUCCCUUGACCAUAAGUACAUCUUUAGCUUUGUAAUUAUGCAUACCAAAUCUACUCAAUACAUGAUCAAUGUAAGCUCUCUGAGACAACCCCAAUACACCACAUGUUCUAUCCUUGUGAAUCUCAACACCAAGUACAAAUGAAGCUUCUUCAAGAUCCUUCAUAUCAAAAACCUUGGAUAGCAUAUAUUUAGUCUCAUCUACUGAAUUUAUCCUUCAAUAACCUAGAGUUGUUACUAGUAAACAAAACAUCAUCCACGUACAAGACAAGAAAGAUAGAUCUACUUCCAUUGACCUUAAGGUAUAUGCAGUGAUCCACUUUAUUUUCCACAAAUUCAAGAGAACUCACAAUGUCAUCAAACUUAAGAUACCAUUGUCGCGAUGCCUGCUCAAGACUAUAAAUGGAUUUCUUAAGUUUGCAUACUAUAUGCACCUUUCCACUUUCAACAAAACCUUCUGGUUGAUUCAUGUAGAGUUCUUCAUGAAGAUCACCAUUCAGAAAAGUUGUCUUAACAUCCAUCUGAUGAAGCUCUAAGUCAAAAUGGGCUACUAGUGCCAUAAUUACUAUGAAAGAAUCCUUACAAGAUACCAGAGAAAAAGUCUCAUUGUAAUAUAUGCCCUCCUUUUGAGUGGAUCCUUUUGCAACCAUGCCUUGUAGCAUUCAAUAUUACCAUUAAAGUCCUUUUUGGUUUUAAAAAACCCAUUUACACUUUAUAGGCUUAAGCCCCUCAGGUAAUUCCACAAAAUCCUAUACUUCAUUGCUAGCCAUGGACUGCAUCUCAUCACACAUGGCUUCAAGCCACUAGUUUGACUGAAAACUUGCAAUAGCUUGAUCAUAUAAGACUGUAUCAAGUAUCAACCAUAUGACCAAUAUCAUAGUUAUUCUCACCUAAAUAGACCACAUAAUCAUUAGGAAUGAAAUUCUCCUUUCUCUAAGUGAUCUUAAUAGUAUUUCGUUAACUAGCUAUGGAGGUGCUAUUAUCGAUUUAGUUAUCUGUUGUCGUUCUUCUACUAUCCCUUCAACAGGAUGAAAUGUGACCUUUUAUGGAUGACAGGAAUAGGAACAAUAACUUAUCUUUCCUCUAAUGUCACAUCUCCAAUAUGAGAACAUCUACAAUCGUCCAUAUUAGACUCUAGAAACAUAGCAUGGAUAGACUCAGCAAUCUUCAUGCCUCUGUCAGGGUAGUGGAAUCUAUAUCUUUUAAAAUUAUCUGGAUAGCCAAUGAAACAAUAAGUGGUUAUAGGUCCAAACUUAUUCUCUAAUAGCUUAUAAAUUUUGACUUCUGUAGGGCAACCCAAAAUAUGAAAGUGAUUAAUACUAGGCUUCCUUUCAACCCAUAAACUCAAAAGAUGUCCGGGGAACUAUCUCAUUAGGAACCCUAUUUAAGAUAUAGAUGGUGGUCUUUAAGACCCUACUCCAGAGAUAUCCUGGUAAAUUGUAGCAGCUUAUCAUGCUUUUAACUAUAUCCUUAAGAGCGUGAUUAUGUCUCUCAACCACACCUUUUGCUUAGGGGUUUCAAGCAUAAUGUAUGGAGCAACUAUCCCACACUCGUGCAAGUACUUGGCAAAGGAUCCCAUUUAUGGGCUAAAUUUAUCAUGUCGACCAUAAUAUUCACGACCACAAUCAGAUCUCACCACCUUAAUUAUCUUUCCACACUGCUUUUCAACCUCAGAUUUUAAAGAUUUUAAACUUAUCAAGUGCUUCGGAUGUUUUUUCUUCUUGAGAAGGUAUGUCACAUAUCCAUAAUGAGAAAAAAUCAUCAAUAAAGUAAUAAAGUACCUACUACCACAAAUAGCAGGAUCUAGGGUCCACUCAUAUUUGUAUGAAUGAGUUCUAAAAGUUUAUUACUACGUGUGGAUUCCUUUCUUUUAUCUUUGGUAAAUUUUCUCCAAAGACGAUCAACAUAAGUAUGAAAAUUACCAAAGUUAAGUGAAGGCAGAAUUUCAUCAUCAAUUAACCUUUGAAACUUCUCUUUAAAAUAAAAUAUGACCCAAUCGCUUAUGCCACAAUAUAGAGAAUUUAUCCUUAGCCAAUCGCUUUUUAGAGACAAUACCAUCUACAUACAUAGUUUUUUUAUUAUUAUUAUUUUCCUUUUUUUAUGACCCUUUCUUUUACUAAAGAAGCACUUAAGAGCUUUCUUAAUAGCAGCUUGUAGGCCCCCAGGAUUCUGACUUUUACUCCAAAAUUGUGAGUAUGACCAUCCCUUUUGAAACCAUUACCUUUUUCUUAUUAUAUUUGGGACCCUUAUGGCGUUACCAUACACCACAUUAUGACUCUCACCCUUUUCCCUAAGAUAUUUUUCUUUCUUUUGAACAUAAACAGAAAUGAAUUUAUUCACAUUCUAUUUAUCCUUCUGCAUAUUAUAUGUGGUUUUAAGCUGACUAAAUUGCACAAGGAGAGAAUUAAAAGGUUCAUGCACAAGAAAAAUAGUAGGAAUAGAGAUGCCAAGACUACUAAGCUUGGAUGCAAUACUUUCUAAUUUUAUGUUGCAAGCCCUAACACCAUCAAUACCAUCAUACCUCAUAUUGAUUAAUUUAUCCAUUAGCUUUCUACCCUCAGUCUUAUCAUAUUCUACAUACCUCUUACUUAUAGCAUCAAAAAAUUGCCUAGCAUUAUCAUUGUCAGAUAUAGCAUCUAGAAUGAAAUCUGAUAUGGACCUCUCCAUGAUCAUUAGGCUAAAAUGAUUAGCUCUCUCCCACUUUUUAUAGGCAGCCUUCUGUUCUAAAGUACUACUAGUAACUUUAGAUGGAGGAUCAUCCCUGAGUGCAAUAUCCAAAUCCAUCAAACACAGCGCUAGCUAAAUAUCAAUUUUUCAUAUUUUGUAGUUUGUUCUGGCCAGAGUUUCAAUGAGAGCCAUAGUGUAAUCAGCAAAGGUGCUAGUUGAUAGACAACCUUUAUGCAGUUAAUUAAUGGAUAGAUAUGGGUAACCAGCAUGCUUGAAAAUAUUUAUAAGCAUUGCUUCAAUGAGAACCCUUGGUGCAAUGCCACAAACUUUCUUUGGGAAGAAAGAGACCCACAAAAGGUACCCCUCCAAUGCAUAGUAGAAUCGACUAGAAAGGUAUCAUCAGUUUUCAGAUGUCCAUCUACUUUGGUAGAAUGAAUCUCUAGACCAUGCACACUAACUAGUCAAAAAAAUAUUCCACUUCAGAAUUAUAACACGCAACAAACUCCCUUUGGGGAGAUGAUUGCAUGCAAUAAUUCCACCACGCUUCUCAAUCCUUUUCAAAAUAUCAAACAGAAGAAUCCUACAAAUUUUAGUGAAUGGGCCACUUUGGUGGUCACCGUCCAUUGAAAUUCACAACCCUCCAAAAAAAAUAGGAAUUAACAAGCCAUGCCCAUAAAUCCAUUCAUUAACCUUAAUGUGCCAAUACAAUGCAAUUUAUAAAAAUUAACAUGACUUUCAAUCCCUUGAAACACCAAAUAGAGGGAAAAUAGAGGGAUCCUGCCAAUCUCAAUGAAUAGGCCACUUUGGUGGUCACCAUCCACUCAAACCUACAACCCUCAAAAUUAG